CCGCCUUCCUCGCGGAGUCUGCGGCCGAAGGAUCGGUUGGGACGCACCGUGUCUAGGUCGGCCUUCGGUGGGGCGCGGUGCGAGCUCUCGGCUCGGGGCAGGAGGCGACUCGAUGACGAGGAGCUGGGGCGCGGCGCUCCUCUCCUGGUGUGGCGCACGAGGGAAGGAGGAGGGGAUCGAUCCAAGACGGGAGCUGAGGCCGGCGGCGCCCUUCACACAAGCCUCACCGGCGGUUCCCUGUACACAAGCCUCACCGGCGAUGCAGCGGGAGAGCUCCGACCCGUCCAUAGGUGCGGGGAUGCAGAUCCGCGUCGCCAGCCUGUACUAGGCCGAGGUUGACGCGCCGGCGCAGGGGUCACCGUCCAUCUUCGCCAGGCCUCCAGAGUACUCCAGCAACAGCCACUGGACGCCAGGUAAGCAUGCAUUGUAUGACCUUAGCUAAUUGCGUACAUACAAGUUUGGAUGAAUUCCAAGAGAUGGAGCACUCUAUCCAAAUAGGAGAAGUGUUAGUGAGUACAAUUUCACAAUGGUUUCAUGGGGAGCAAAAUAAUCACCUGCGGCAAAUUUAGGUUCUAGAAUUGACAUAUAUUCAGUUCCUUUUUUUAUAAAGAGAGCUCCCUCUCCGAUUUUCAUUAGAGGAAAUCACCGUGUCUUACCUAUAUUCAGUUCCUGGAAGAACAAAGAAGUUGCAUGUCCUUUUAGUCUGAAAAUCACAUUGAUCCUUGGAGCAUGAUGGGGACAAAUCGCACAUAUGUCCUGUACUGCACACACGUGAAGGCAAAGGAUUUUUCUGAAUGCCAUUGUUGUCCGGUACACAGUGUUUAUCAGUGAGUAAUUUGCCCCUUUCGCAAUGUGAUGAUACUGGCAAUAAGGGAAGCAUCAUAUACCAUUGGUUUUGCUGAACUAGAAAUAACACAACUACAUAUUGAUUUUCUGCUUAAAUUUCACAAUAGAUAUUUUGCCGGAUGACCCACUGUAUGAGGAUGCCACAUCCUUUCUUGCUCACCCAACACACGGCAUUCCUUACAGUAGAGGUACCACACGGGGUGGUGACUGGGAGGCUGGUACAUGCUAGCACGGCCAAACAGCUGGUUCACUGCGAUCAGGGUGCUAGAGGCUCUUGGGGUUGCAGCUCGCUCGCCUGCUGGAGGUACAAUGUUGAUUAUUUAGAGACCUCAUCUUCAUGAGACUAGCAAGGGAUGGACAUUCUGAAGAAGAAGAGAUGAGGUGAGUUUCUGAAGUUCACCGUCCAAUCCAAGUAUUAAAGGUGAGCAUUACUAUUCAAAGGGACAUAAUUAACCUGUUAAAUUAUUCUUAGAGCAAGGAACCAGUUAUUAUCUAACCGAAUAACUGUAAACUAGCUUCUUUUUCUAAAAUGAGGUGUUGUCUUUAAAUAGAUAUGGACCGGAGAGGGGGCUUGAGAAAUGCUAAUUAGGCUAGAGGCGUAUGAUAUUUUUUUCUCCCGUUGCAAUGCACGGGCAUGUUUGCUAUAAUAAUAAAGCAUCCAGUGGAGGGGUUUAGAAAAAUAGAAACGGUUCUAUUUGAUAUGUAAUUUAGAAAUUAAUGGCUGGAGGAUCCUAAACUAACAUAUGGCAUUUUGUUUCAAUUUCUCUUUACCUGAUUGUGUUACUUAUGCACAAUCACCAUACUUGACAUAGGUCCCUGCACUUCCGUUGACGAGUAUUUUGUCAGCAUCUCGAUGCGGAGGUACAACUUUAGCUGAUCUUCGUCAUGUUUUACAUUGUUUCUCAGUACUUUUUACUGCAAUGUGGAGGUCAGAUUCUAGCUGAUAUAUCUUCAUGCUUUACCUUGUUUACCAAUGUCCCAAUGUGGACGUAAAGAUUCUAGCUGAUAUAUCUUCAUGUUUUACCUUGUUUACCAAUGUCCCAAAAUUUUGUUUCGUCUUUGCUUUGAAUUAAUUUUCCUUACUUUGACUGAGUAGGACAUUUAUUUGAAAUACUAAAUUGUGGUGUCGCUACCUCUAAGGACCACAGUGUUGUAGCGCCCUUGUCACAAGGUGACCAUCUUCAGCGCAUCGUGGUGUCGCUGCCCACACGAUCUCUACAGACACCACAAAAGGCUACAGGACCGACAAGGCCGGUGGCCUGACCACUGAAUCACGUUGUUGUGCGGGCGCCUUAAUCUCGCAUGCGGCCGUCUAAAGCCCCAGGGGCCAACCUCGCUCGAGCGUCGCCGACAGGCUCUCUUUUGCACAGGAGAAAAUGGUUGGAUAUAUGUGCCUCCUCCGUCUCUUAUUCCCUGAAAUGUAAUUUGAUGACUCAUUGAUGUCACACUCGCUUAGGAUUAAACUGCACAGGUUAGAUUGACAUUUUGCCCUGUGUUUAAUUAUUACAUGCACUGCACGCUAAUCCAUGUAUAUAUUGGCUCCCCUAUAUAUA